ACCAGAAUGAUCCAGACGCUGUACAGUUCUACAUCGCCUAUUCACCGCCGGGGCAUCCUGUGGGAGAGCUUGUCUACGCCAACUAUGGCCGGCUGGAAGACUUUGAUUACCUGCGGCAGGUCGGCGUCAACUGCACGGGGAAAAUCGUCCUGAUGAAGUACAGGUCUGGAGGGAGGGGAACAAAAGCGAUAAACGCGGCGGCCGCCGGUGCGAUAGGGGCGAUCCUGUACCCAGAACCUGCGGACACCAACGCGCCUGGUGAGAAGGUAUACCCCGAUGGAUGGGACCUCCCCGGGACCGGCACGGAGCGAGGAAGUUCACUUCUAGAACCAGGAGACCCGCUAACCCCGGGGUAUCCUGCAACAGGUG